rnacentral:rRNA from 1 species
ACACGACUACAUUAGAUACCCCCGUAGUCCCAGCCCUAAACGAUGCGCGUUAGGUGUAUCGGUGACCACGAGUCACCGAGGUGCCGAAGAGAAAUCGUGAAACGCACCACCUGGGAAGUACGGUCGCAAGGCUGAAACUUAAAGGAAUUGGCGGGGGAGCACCACAACAGGUGGAGCCUGCGGUUUAAUUGGAUUCAACGCCGGACAUCUCACCGGAUAAGACAGCUGAAUGAUUGUCAAUCUGAAGGUUUUACAUGACUAGCUG